rnacentral:misc_RNA from 1 species
GUAUUUUGAAUUAUUUAUUCAUAAUAUUUUUCAGACAAAGAGUUAAAAAAUAAGUUGAUGUUUGGUCGUCCUCCAUAAAGAAGAACAACUGACAUUGCACACAAGGUGGAUAUGGAUUUAAAAAGUGCCAUAAAACACUUAUUAUGAAUGAUCCUUCCGCAGGUUCACCUACGGAAA